UGCCCNCUGAUAAUUAUUAAAGGGCUGCAGUAUAUUGACUGUACAAAGGUAGCAUAAUCAUUAGUCAUUUAAUUGAUGACUUGUAUGAAAGAUUGGAUGAAAUAUGAACUGUCUUAAAUUUAAUCUUUAGAAUUUAAUUUUUUAGUUAAAAAGCUAAAAUUUAUUAAAAAGACGAGAAGACCCUAUAGAGUUUAAUUAAAAUUUUUAUUAAAAUUUUUUUAUUUUAAUUUAAUUAAUUUAUAAAUAUUAAUUUUUAUUUUAAUUUUGUUGGGGUGAUAGAAAAAUUAAAGUAACUUUUUUUGAAUUUAUUUACAUAAAUAAAUGAAUAAAUGAUCCAUUAAUAAUGAUUAAAAGAAAUAAUUACCUUAGGGAUAACAGCGUAAUUUUUUUUUUUAGUUCAUAUAAAAAAAAGAGUUUGCGACCUCGAUGUUGGAUUAAGAUAAAAUUUAAAUGUAGAAGUUUAAAGUUUUGA
rnacentral:rRNA from 1 species